CAAUUACAGAGGGUAUUCCAGAAACAUUUACGAUCAUCUCCACAUUUAAGCAGGGAAAAAUCGACCUUGCUGAUGGAAAAAAAAAAUUGAAAAUUCCCUUGUUGACCAUCUAUAACCAAGAAGAGGUUAGGGAAAUCCUUAGCUUGUAUGUUGGUUCACGAACAUUGUUUCUCUAUAGUGACAACACAAUCAAAAAUGACAAGCCAGCUAGAUUCAACUUUAACACUAAUGAUGAUAGGUGAGAAAUUGUUUUUUUUUGCCAUAGUUAUAAAUCAACCCAUCUCAAAUUUAUUUAAACAACACAAUAUAUCAAGGAUUAAUUCAUAGCUAUGUGACAACAGAUUAUACAGAUAUUCUUUUAUUGUUAUAUGUUGGAAUUUCUCAAAAUGUGUCAAAAUUCACUCUAGUCUCUAUUGUGUUCAAUUCAAUGAUUUUUUUUGACAACACAGAUGCCGAGGGUGCACUCUUGCUGAAGUUUUCCUCAUCCAAGUUCUAGAGUUUUGCCCCUUUAAAUCUUGGAAAUCGCAUUUUUUACAUUUCUGCAAUCUUUCUUCAGUUUUGCUUAUCCAAAUUUUAUGAACUCACACACAACGCUAAGAUCCACAACAUGCAGACAAAUUUCAAUUUGGACAGUUAUUAUUCUUCCUAGUGUCACACCAAGAAUUACUGAUUUUCAAUAAUAAAAAAAAAGUCAUCGUCAAGCGAAUGAAUUUAAAGUUUCGUAGCCUUUACUUUUUUUAUGUGAUAAUUUUUAUAUCAUGCUACUCUCUUGAUAUUGAAAAUUAUUAUCAGAAACUAAGGAGGCAUGUGACGUUGUCAAUAUUAAUAUCAAUUAUAACAUAGACAAAUUAACAAUAAACAGAUCAAUGGUCUUUCAAACUCAACAUUUUCUCAGACAUAUCUAGUCUUUGGGCUUUCGCUCUUCGAUGAGAUUGAAGCUGAGAAACACCCUAUUGUUUGAAGCACCACCCAUAUCUAUAAAUAUUAUAAUUUUUCUCUAAUUAAUUAUCCAUUCAUUUUGUAUAUUUCAGUUGGCACCGAGUUGCUAUAGUAGUACAAGGUCAGGAGGUUACAGCUUGGUAGAUUGUGA
rnacentral:lncRNA from 1 species